rnacentral:rRNA from 1 species
UAACAAGGAUUCCCCUAGUAACUGCGAGUGAAGCGGGAAAAGCUCAAAUUUAAAAUCUGGCGGUCUUCGAUCGUCCGAGUUGUAGUCUGGAGAAGCGUCUUCCGCGCUGGACCGUGUACAAGUCUCUUGGAACAGAGCGUCGUAGAGGGUGAGAAUCCCGUCUUUGACACGGACUACCAGUGCUUUGUGAUGCGCUCUCAAAGAGUCGAGUUGUUUGGGAAUGCAGCUCAAAAUGGGUGGUAAAUUCCAUCUAAAGCUAAAUAUUGGCGAGAGACCGAUAGCGAACAAGUACCGUGAGGGAAAGAUGAAAAGCACUUUGGAAAGAGAGUUAAACAGUACGUGAAAUUGCUGAAAGGGAAACGAUUGAAGUCAGUCGCGUCGUCUAGAACUCAACCUUGCCUCGGCUCGGUGCAUUUUCUAGUUGACGGGCCAGCAUCAGUUUUGACCGUCGGAAAAAGGUCCUCGGAAUGUGGCACCUUCGGGUGUGUUAUAGCCUUGGGUCGUAUACGACGGUUGGGACUGAGGACCGCAGCACGCCUUUAUGGCCGGGGUUCGCCCACGUACGUGCUUAGGAUGCGGCGU